rnacentral:rRNA from 1 species
AGUGAACGCUGGCGGUAGGCCUAACACAUGCAAGUCGAACGGCAGCACAGUAAGAGCUUGCUCUUACGGGUGGCGAGUGGCGGACGGGUGAGGAAUACAUCGGAAUCUACUUUUUCGUGGGGGAUAACGUAGGGAAACUUACGCUAAUACCGCAUACGACCUACGGGUGAAAGCAGGGGAUCUUCGGACCUUGCGCGAUUGAAUGAGCCGAUGUCGGAUUAGCUAGUUGGCGGGGUAAAGGCCCACCAAGGCGACGAUCCGUAGCUGGUCUGAGAGGGUGAUCGGCCACACUGGAACUGGGACACGGUCCAGGCUCCUACGGGAGGGAGCAGUGGGGAAUAUUGGGCAAUGGGCGGAAGCCUUAUCCAGCCAUACCGGGUGGGUGAAGGAGGCCUUCGGGUUGUAAAGCCCUUUUUUUGGGAAAGAAAAGUAGCAGGUUAAUACCCCGCUGUUCUGACGGUACCCAAAGAAUAAGCACCGGCUAACUUCGUG